rnacentral:rRNA from 2 species
CCUGAUGGAGCACGCCGCGUGAGUGAAGAAGGGUUUCGGCUCGUAAAACUCUGUUGUUAAAGAAGAACGUAUCUGAGAGUAACUGUUCAGAUAGUGACGGUAUUUAACAAGAAAGCCACGGCUAACUACGUGCCAGCAGCCGCGGUAAUACGUAGGUGGCAAGCGUUAUCCGGAUUUAUUGGGCGUAAAGGGAGUGCAGGCGGUUAUUUAAGUCUGAUGUGAAAGCCUUCGGCUUAACCGGAGAAGGGCAUCGGAAACUGGAUAACUUGAGUGCAGAAGAGGGUAGUGGAACUCCAUGUGUAGCGGUGGAAUGCGUAGAUAUAUGGAAGAACACCAGUGGCGAAGGCGGCUACCUAGUCUGUAACUGACGCUGAGGCUCGAAAGCAUGGGUAGCAAACAGGAUUAGAUACCCUGGUAGUCCAUGCCGUAAACGAUGAAUACUAGGUGUUAGGGGGUUUCCGCCCCUUAGUGCCGCAGCUAACGCAAUAAGUAUUCCGCCUGGGGAGUACGACCGCAAGGUUGAAACUCAAAGGAAUUGACGGGGACCCGCACAAGCGGUGGAGCAUGUGGUUUAAUUCGAAGCUACGCGAAGAACCUUACCAGGGCUUGACAUCUUCUGCUAAUCCGAGAGAUCGGACGUUCCCUUCGGGGACGGAAAGACAGGUGGUGCAUGGUUGUCGUCAGCUCGUGUCGUGAGAUGUU